UGUGUGACAUGGAAGCAUAAGAUGUUUCAACUGUGUUUCCUGUGAUAGACUGUGGUACAAGAGAGACUCCUCUCUCCCUUGAACUGAGAAUUGAUUACCUGAGAAGUGGAAACUUGUCUGAGAAUCCAAGGUUUUGUCUCCCCUUUUGUGCUUUGGUGGAAACUGGACGGGGGAAGAGGAAUGUUUGGAAAGUUUUCAUUCUGAAUUUUGUGUCUUCCUUUUAUUACAGUAAGGCAAAAGAAAUGUGAGCUGAUAUAAUGAUCUGCAGUAUUCAGGGAAGAAGCAAAAUCAUUCAGUGGGAAGAAAACCAAAAUGUCAUUAUUUACAUUACAGACCUGUGGAAACAGAAAUCAGCUCCACCUGUACAAGUGAAACCAUUCAGUGCAAGAGGCACUAUCUGGUACCAAAGACAGCUUAAAAAAACUUUCCAUUAGUUGUCACUAAUGCCAACAGCAUUUUC